AAGAUGUUCGAUAUAGUCCAGGGUCUGGCCUAUUUAAUUUUGAUCUCCACCACACCAAAGCAACGCAACCUCCCCCACUUACUUGCUGCCAGCCAAAGAUGGCGUGAUCAUUAUAUUAGGACGCCCGGCGCUUAUAGGCUGGGCUUGUGAGCGUAUAUAUGGGUUUGUUGAUUAUCCAUAUUCGGCGGGUUGAAUCAAUUGUAGGGAAUAUAAUAUAAAGAACCGGCCAGAUUCUGGACUAUGUUCGAUGUAGUCCUACAUCUUCAUGAAGGUUACCCUGUACAAUGAUAAAGUUAAGAUUGUUUGUUUCUCACCAUGCAGGUAGUCUGAAUUGUGCUGCCUUUACAGCUGGUAUCAUAGAGGCUAUACUCAACGGAUGUAAUUUUCCUGCAAAGGUGACAGCUCAUUGGCAUAAAGGAACCACAUAUAUGAUCAAGUUUGAAGACUCUGUCAUUGCUAGAGACAAAUCACUGGAACAACGCUAGUCCAUCCAAGAACGAGAACUACAAGUAUUUACCAUGAACUUUCCAGGAGCAUCCUAUAAAGUGGAGCUAUUCAACAUUCACAGACUACUCCUCUCCUUGAUGGUGGUUGCAGUAUAUUUCAGACAACAAUUAAUUGGCUCUUUUGACAGUUGUCUUUGGGUGCAAGGAAAGGAUUAAUGAUAGACAAUGAUGAUUUACCAAGAACGGAUACAAAUGAUAGACGAAGAGGAACUCAACAUCUAUGGUAUUGAGUGGUUGCAUGCAUCCCAAGAUAGAUUAAUUUAGGAUAUUGGCAGCAACAGCAGCAGCAGCAGUAGCCAUCUCUAUUCAAUGGAAAUGCAUAAAGGGUAUAUGGAAAAGGCCAGGUUCAUAUCAAAGCAUAUUGAAUUGAUUGAAUUAAAUUCAUUUAAAAAGUUUAUUUAAAUGUAUUAAAAAGAGAACAUCACAUGCAGCUCAAGGCUGAUAUUGUAUGUUUCAGAAAGUAAGCAGAUAUUAAUAAUAUAAUAGUACGGCCAUCAACUACAGGAGCAAUAUCACAACAAAACAAUAGUAGGAGGGUAUGGCAUCAAAUAACUGACUGAGAAAAUGAGAGAGCUUUAUUUCAAGUUUUGUACUGUAGAAAGAUACAUUUUUAAGGUAUGAAACCAUCAAUUUGAUCCACUCACAGAAGUUUUCUAAGUUUCUAAUUUCUAUUACUAGUUAUUUGUGGAACAAUUUUGUUUAUUAAUUAUGUCGAUGAAAUGCUGUUGAAAAGGUUGAGCUUGUGAGGGGAAGAGAAUUAGCUUAUGAUAUAUCUACAAUGCAUAUUGGUGGAAAUAUAUUUUGCAGUAAAGAUUUUGUAAAUGGUGUUAUGGAAAAUACCAUGUUUAAUUAAUAAUUCUAGUUUUAGACAAUGGGGAGAACAUUUAUAUUUGGAUUACAUAAAAAUAGGAUAUAAUGUAAUUUUACAAAAUUUAAACAAAAAUGAGGUCCUUUCGAUUUCUUCUGCUUCUCAGAACAGUUACUGGUGAUUAGAUCUAAAGCACAUUAUGAUUGCUGCUAUCAUUAUUAUCAUCAUUAUCAUUGUGAGUGACCUAGCGAUAUAAUAAAGUGCAAUAUAAGUCCCCAUGUUAUUGUAGAGCUUAAACUUUUUUAUGUAAAUGUAAGUGCACUUUGUUUAAGAUGCCAUUUCAUGUUUGAAAUUAUAAUUAUAGCAUAGUUACCCCAUCCUACAUGAAAAAAACAUGUUUCUUUUAUCAACAUGUACCACAUAGUGAUUGCAUGAUUAUAAAAUCUGCCAUAACAUGCAAAUACUUUAUUGUAGAUUUGUCACUGUAAUCAGAUGGCUAUACAAAAAAUGAUAUAAAGCUCCCUUUGUUAUAAUGAUUGUGAUGUUUUGGGGAAGUUAUGAUGUUGAUAAUCCCUAUGUAAUUAGUUGAAUAUUAUAAUAGACAAUAUUUGUUAGUAAUUGAUGGUAGGUGGUCAAGUUCACUUUAAAAGUUAGAAUUGGCUAUGGCUGUAAUAGUGUCAUAUUGUCUGUUUAGAGCCGGAAGGAUGUUAACUCUUGUAUUUACUAAGAUAGAGCUUACACCCUUAUGACUCUUAGAAGAGGAUACCAGCUUUAGUUAGAGGAUUUUUGUAAUGUUUGUUUUAUUGAAAAUAUAAUGUCAAUAAAUGUCAUGUAUUUAUGUCUGUGACGUUGAAACAUGAAUGUAUAACUUUUAUGCUUUAAUAAAUGACUAUACAAAACAGAA
rnacentral:lncRNA from 1 species